rnacentral:rRNA from 1 species
UACAGAGGUCUCAAGCGUUGUUCGGAUUCAUUGGGCGUAAAGGGUGUGUAGGUGGCGCCGUAAGUCGGGUGUGAAAUUUCGGAGCUUAACUCCGAAACUGCAUUCGAUACUGCGGUGCUUGAGGACUGGAGAGGAGACUGGAAUUCAUGGUGUAGCAGUGAAAUGCGUAGAGAUCAUGAGGAAGACCAGUGGCGAAGGCGGGUCUCUGGACAGUUCCUGACACUGAGGCUCGAAGGCCAGGGGAGCAAACGGG